CCGAGAGUUGGGCUUCGGUCCGCACCCUCAACCCUUUGUAUACCUGGUCUGUUGCUUUGGCGGGUCGUUGGGCGUCCCCUCCCUGUGGGGUCGGGCCGUCCCGCCGCCGACCCAUGCGGUCGGCGCGUGCCCGCCGGAGGUUCCACGAACUCUAUAUCAAUGUCAGUCGUUUGGGCCCAUGGGGCCUUAUGAUUCUAAAUCAUGUCA
rnacentral:misc_RNA from 1 species